rnacentral:tRNA from 2 species
GCUUCCUUAGCUCAGUUGGGAGAGCAGCUCACUUGUAAUGAGCAGGUCGUCCGUUCGAAUCGGACAGGGAGCACCA